rnacentral:rRNA from 1 species
UACGUAGGGAGCAAGCGUUGUCCGGAAUCAUUGGGCGUAAAGCGCGCGUAGGCGGCCCUGUAAGUCCGCUGUGAAAGUCAAAGGCUCAACCUUUGAAUGCCGGUGGAUACUGCAGGGCUAGAGUCCGGAAGAGGCAAGUGGAAUUCCUGGUGUAGCGGUGAAAUGCGUAGAUAUCUGGAGGAACACCGGUGGCGAAGGCGGCAUCCUGGACCGGUAUUGACGCUGAGGCGCGAAAGCCAGGGGAGCGAACGGG